GGGGAUGUAGCUCAGUGGUAGAGAGCUUGCCUGGGAAGCAUGAGGUCCUGGUUUUGAUCCCCACCAUCACAU
rnacentral:tRNA from 1 species